rnacentral:RNase_P_RNA from 1 species
AAGGAUCUGCGAGAGGAAAGUCCGGGCUCCAUAGAGCAAAGAUGCUAGAUAACGUCUAGUGAGGGCAACCUUAAGGAAAGUGCAACAGAAAAUAACCGCCAUGAAAAUGGUAAGGGUGAAAAGGCGAGGUAAGAGCUCACCGCUAAUAUGGUGACAUAUUAGGACAGUGUAAACCCCAUCUGGAGCAACACCUAAAUUAGAAUAAACACUUGCUCGGUGAUUCUAAAAUUGCGUGGCUUGAGGUAUAUAGUGAUAUAUAUUCUAGAUAAAUGACUAUUUUAAAAGACAGAACCCGGCUUACAGAUUUUC